AAAGUAGGGAAGCACGCGAGCUGACUGUCAAGAAAAGCCGCUAUUGUUUGCAGGAUACCCGUACCGUAAACCGACACAGGUGGAUGAGGAGAGAAUCCUAAGGCCGACGGGAGAAGCAUUGUUAAGGAACUCGGCAAAAUGACUCCGUAACUUCGGGAGAAGGAGUGCCAGUAAGAUGGCCGCAGAGAAUUGGCCCAAGCAACUGUUUAGCAAAAACACAGGUCUAUGCAAAACCGAAAGGUGAGGUAUAUGGGCUGACGCCUGCCCGGUGCUGGAAGGUUAAGGGGAGAGGUUAGCGCAAGCGAAGCUUUGAACUUAAGCCCCAGUAAACGGCGGCCGUAACAAUAACGGUCCUAAGGUAGCGAAAUUCCUUGUCGGGUAAGUUCCGACCCGCACGAAAGGCGUAAUGAUUUGGGCACUGUCUCAACAAUGCACCCGGUGAAAUUGAAAUACCAGUGAAGAUGCUGGUUACCUGCGCCAGGACGGAAAGACCCCAUGGAGCUUUACUCCAGCUUGAUACUGGGAUUCGGUAUUGCAUGUACAGGAUAGGUGGGAGGCUAGGAAAUGGUAACGCCAGUUGCCAUGGAGCCAAUGUUGGGAUACCACCCUUGCAGUACUGGGUUUCUAACCAGCAGCCGUGAUCCGGCUGGGGGACAAUGUCAGGUGGGGAGUUUGACUGGGGCGGUCGCCUCCGAAAGGGUAUCGGAGGCGCUCAAAGGUUCCCUCAGAAUGGUUGGAAACCAUUCGAAGAGUGCAAAGGCAGAAGGGAGCUUGACUGCGACACCGACGGGUGGAGCAGGUACGAAAGUAGGACUUAGUGAUCCGGUGGUAUAAAGUGGGAUUGCCAUCGCUCAACGGAUAAAAGCUACCCUGGGAUAACAGGCUUAUCACUCCCAAGAGUUCACAUCGACGGAGUGGUUUGGCACCUCGAUGUCGGCUCAUCGCAUCCUGGGGCUGAAGUAGGUCCCAAGGGUUGGGCUGUUCGCCCAUUAAAGCGGUACGCGAGCUGGGUUCAGAACGUCGUGAGACAGUUCGGUCCCUAUCCGGCGUGGGCGUAAGAUAUUUGAGAGGAGCUGUCCUUAGUACGAGAGGACCGGGAUGGACUGGCCGCUGGUGUAUCUGUUGUCUUACCAAAGGCAUAGCAGAGUAGCCAAGCCGGGAAGGGAUAAACGCUGAAGGCAUCUAAGCGUGAAGCCCCCCUCAAGAUGAGAUAUCUCAUAACGUCAAGUUAGUAAGACCCCUUGAAGACGACGAGGUAGAUAGGGCAGAGGUGGAAGUGUGGUAACACAUGGAGCUGACUGUUACUAAUAGGUCGAGGGCGUAAUCAA
rnacentral:rRNA from 1 species